rnacentral:misc_RNA from 1 species
UGGCUCUGGCAUCGAUGAAGAACGCAGCGAAAUGCGAUAAGUAAUGUGAAUUGCAGAAUUCAGUGAACCAUCGAAUCUUUGAACGCACAUUGCGCCCGCCAGUAUUCUGGCGGGCAUGCCUGUUCGAGCGUCAUUAACACCCCUCAAGCCCCCGGGCUUGGUGUUGGGGAUCGGGAAUCGCCGAUGGCGGACGCGCCCCUCCGGGGGCCCUUCGCCGGCCCGCGCCCCGUCCCCCAAAUGCAUCGGCGGUCACGCCGCGGCCUCUUGCGCGUAGUAGUAAACAACCUCGCGCCGGAGCCCGACGUGGUCCACGCCGUAAAAACCCCCGACUUUUUACCAAGUUGACCUCGAAUCAGGUAGGACUACCCGCUGA